rnacentral:rRNA from 1 species
UGGGGAAUAUUGGACAAUGGGCGCAAGCCUGAUCCAGCCAUGCCGCGUGAGUGAUGAAGGCUCUAGGGUUGUAAAGCUCUUUCACCGGUGAAGAUAAUGACGGUAACCGGAGAAGAAGCCCCGGCCAACUUCGUGCCAGCAGCCGCGGUAAUACGAAGGGGGCUAGCGUUGUUCGGAUUUACUGGGCGUAAAGCGCACGUAGGCGGACUUUUAAGUCAGGGGUGAAAUCCCGGGGCUCAACCCCGGAACUGCCUUUGAUACUGGAAGUCUUGAGUAUGGUAGAGGUGAGUGGAAUUCCGAGUGUAGAGGUGAAAUUCGUAGAUAUUCGGGGGAACACCAGUGGCGAAGGCGGCUCACUGGACCAUUACUGACGCUGAGGUGCGAAAGCGUGGGGAGCAAACAGG